GGCUAUUUGAAAGAGAAGGAGCAGCUGGUGAAAGCACAGAAGGGAUGAACUCACACCAUUUUUACUUGCUGUAAGUGAGAACAAACAGCAAAUGGUGGAAUUUUUAAUAGAAAAAGAAGCAAAUGUACAUGCAGUUGAUAAGUUGCAAAGAACAGCCCUCAUGCUUGCUGUACAUUAUGAUUCUGCAGAUCUAGUCAGGGUUCUUCUUCAGCAAGGUAUUAAUAUCUUUUCUGAAGAUGCGUGUGGAUGGACUGCAGAAGAAUAUUCUAUUUUUAAUGAUC